rnacentral:rRNA from 1 species
AUUGAACGCUGGCGGAAUGCUUUACACAUGCAAGUCGAGCGGCAGCGCGGGGCAACCUGGCGGCGAGCGGCGAACGGGUGAGUAAUACAUCGGAACGUACCCAGUUGUGGGGGAUAGCCCGGCGAAAGCCGGAUUAAUACCGCAUACGACCUGAGGGUGAAAGGGGGGGAUCGCAAGACCUCUCGCAGUUGGAGCGGCCGAUGGCGGAUUAGCUAUGUGGUGAGGGAAAGGCUCACAAAGGCAACGAUCCGUAGCGGGUCGGAGAGGACGACCCGCCACACUGGAACUGAGACACGGUCCAGACUCCUACGGGAGGCAGCAGUGGGGAAUUUUGGACAAUGGGGGCAACCCUGAUCCAGCCAUUCCGCGUGAGUGAAGAAGGCCUUCGGGUUGUAAAGCUCUUUCGGCAGGAACGAAACGGUGGAAGCUAAUAUCUUUUACUAAUGACGGUACCUGAAGAAGAAGCACCGGCUAACUACGUGCCAGCCGCCGCGGUAA